CAAGCAGUAGCUCAGCUGGUAGAGCCAUGUGUCGUGGGUUCGAGCCCCACCUGCUUGA
rnacentral:tRNA from 1 species